GUCUCUUAAUUGGAGUCUGGUAUGAAUGGUUGGAUGAGGAAUCUACUUUCUUUAUUUUAAAAAUAAAAUUUGAUUUUUAGAUUAAAAAGUCUAGGUAUAUUUAUAGGACGAGAAGACCCUAUAGAACUUAACUUUCCCUUAAUUAAUUAUUUAUUUGUAAAUAAUUAUUUCUUAUUUUUGGGGGAAAGUUUUAUUGGGGUGAUAAAAAAAAUUUUUUAACUUUUUUUACUUUUUUCAUUUAUUUGUGAAUUUUUGAUCUUUUAUUAAGGAAAAUAAGAUUAAGUUACCUUAGGGAUAACAGCGUUAUUGUUUUAGAGAGUUCAUAUCAAUAAAAUAGUUUGCGACCUCGAUGUUGGAUUAAAAUUAGUGCUAGGGGUAGAAUAUUAGUUACUAGGUCUGUUCGACCUUUAAAUUUUUACA
rnacentral:rRNA from 1 species